rnacentral:misc_RNA from 1 species
UUGUCGCCGUCCUCCGCUGGCGCGACUCCCCAGCAGCACGGGAGCCCAGAAGGUGGAGACGACCUUGGAGGAGUCCACCGAGCUUUGGAUCUUGCUGGCCUGCGGGAGCGACGACGUGGACCACCGCACGGCGGAGGCGUGGGCUUGGAUGGCUUGGACACAGUGUUCUCCUUGUCAACGACGGUGGAGGUGGUGCGGCUUGGGUGCGGUGUUCUCCUUCACGGCAAUGGCGGAGGUGGUGCCCGUAGGCUGCCGUGGACGAGCACGGGGCUGGUCCUGCGUCAGGGAGCCCUCGUCCUUCCUCGGCGAUUGGGGCAAGGUAGAGGAGGAGGUGGUGAUUUGUGUGUCGAGAGACGAGCGAGGGAUGCUCGUGGAGGGAAGGAUCCAAUCGGGGGUGCCGAUGACGGAGGCAAAAGGCAUGGCGCGCGUCGUGCGGGGGCAAAGGCCUGGUCGCGCUUGGCUGAUCUCCGAGGCAAAGGGUGGGUCACGCUGCGCAGAGGCGGAGGCCUAGGUGUGAACUGCGUGCGGAAGGGUGCGGCGAAGGAUUCGAAGGCGGACUAA